rnacentral:rRNA from 1 species
CCUACGGGGGGCUGCAGUGGGGAAUAUUGGACAAUGGGGGCAACCCUGAUCCAGCCAUGCCGCGUGUGUGAAGAGGGCCCUCGGGUUGUAAAGCACUUUCAGUGAGGAAGAACGCCUGGUGGUUAAUACCCAUCAGGAAAGACAUCACUCACAGAAGAAGCACCGGCUAACUCCGUGCCAGCAGCCGCGGUAAUACGGAGGGUGCGAGCGUUAAUCGGAAUUACUGGGCGUAAAGCGCGCGUAGGUGGCUUGAUAAGCCGGUUGUGAAAGCCCCGGGCUCAACCUGGGAACGGCAUCCGGAACUGUCAAGCUAGAGUGCAGGAGAGGAAGGUAGAAUUCCCGGUGUAGCGGUGAAAUGCGUAGAGAUCGGGAGGAAUACCAGUGGCGAAGGCGGCCUUCUGGACUGACACUGACACUGAGGUGCGAAAGCGUGGGUAGCAAACAGGAUUAGAUACCCUAGUAGUC